UUGUCUGAUACGUGUCCUCAGGUGCAGCGUAUGAAAACAUUUUAGUUCUGCUUUCAAGCCUUAAGUUAAGUAAUUCUUUAAAAAAAAAGGUAUAAAGAGCACUGGAUGUUAAUCUACACAGAUUUCUCUCCUGAAAUCUGUUUAUUUGGACCUGCACAACGCAUUCCAAAAAAAGAUGUGGUUGAGGCAAAAGAAGACUGGAAAGGGCUGCAACACACUUUCCCAAGUGGAGUUUUCUGGAGUGAGGCAACAGAAGGCUGGAAAGCAGGACGUCCGCUCCAGGUUCGGACUUCAGAGGACCAGACACUGCUGAAUAUAGUCAUCCUAAUUAUACAGGAUUCAAUCUGUAUGCUAUUCAGGUCAUCUGGCCAGGAAAGUAAGACCACAGCAUGUACAGCUCUGAAAAAAAAAAGAGACCACUUAAUGAUGAUGUUUUUCCUUGAUUUUACCUAAUUGAAAAACUCUGGAAUAUAAUCUGAACUGCUUGAAUUUUUGUACCAGGAGUGGUAUAUCCAAGUUAUCCAAAAGCAGUGUGUAAGACUGGUGGAGGAGAACAUGAUGCCAAGAUCCUGAAAACUCUGAUUACAAACCAAGAUUAUUCCACCAAAUAUUGAUUUCUGAACUCUUGUUCUCUGUGCAGUAUUAGAGGUCUGAUUGUUCUGCAUCUCUCUCUUUUUGUUUUGCAAAUAAAUGCUCUAAAUGACUUUUUUUUUUUUUUUUGGAAUUUAGGAGAAAUGUUGUCCGUAGUUUAUAGAAUAAAACAUCAAUGUUCAUUUUGCUCAAACAUCUAUCUAUAAAUAGCAAAAUCAGAGAAACUGAUAUUAUUUUCCAGAGCUGUAUAUCCUUAUCCUCAUAUCACUUUAAACAGUUCAGCAUGUUUAUUAAUA